AAACUCUACUUUCUCCCCUACCCAACACCUCAGGACCCUUUCCCAGAGUCAUCUCUCUCAAAGGCAAAGGUGACUUGAAUAAUAUGACUCAACUAAAUCAAUAUGGCAUAGUGUAUAGAUACCCAGGAAGUCAGGUCUGAGAUGACUAAAAUAAAAUCCUGAUUAUGUCAUGCAAUUAGGCUUAAGUGAAGAGAAUCAUGAAAUCAACUGAAAUGACAUCUUCUGAUACAUCGGAAAAAAUAUGAAGCAAAGGGUAGUCUGUUUUUACCUUUGUUUUUAUUUAUUCAUAUUUAUUGCUGGUAUAAUUUCCAUGCCAACACAUCAUUAUAAUAAGUAAUUCCAUAUAAUA